UUAAUUGCAACCGGAUCUGGUGCCGUACCCGUUACGGGCACGGUUAAAAGGGAAGAGGGUGGGACUCCCUCGCUGACCCGCAACUGUAACAGGCGAUGAAAGCCGCUAUGCAUGCCACUGAUUUCGAUUGGGAAGGCGCGGCAAGUAAGAUGACCCUGGAGCCAGGAAACCUGCCUGUCCGUCAGCUUUUGG
rnacentral:ncRNA from 2 species